rnacentral:rRNA from 1 species
GACGAACGCUGGCGGCGUGCUUAACACAUGCAAGUCGAGCGGAAAGGCCCUGCUUUUGUGGGGUGCUCGAGUGGCGAACGGGUGAGUAACACGUGAGUAACCUGCCCUUGACUUUGGGAUAACUUCAGGAAACUGGGGCUAAUACCGGAUAGGAGCUCCUGCUGCAUGGUGGGGGUUGGAAAGUUUCGGCGGUUGGGGAUGGACUCGCGGCUUAUCAGCUUGUUGGUGGGGUAGUGGCUUACCAAGGCUUUGACGGGUAGCCGGCCUGAGAGGGUGACCGGCCACAUUGGGACUGAGAUACGGCCCAGACUCCUACGGGAGGCAGCAGUGGGGAAUAUUGCACAAUGGGCGGAAGCCUGAUGCAGCAACGCCGCGUGCGGGAUGACGGCCUUCGGGUUGUAAACCGCUUUCGCCUGUGACGAAGCGUGAGGGACGGUAAUGGGUAAAGAAGCACCGGCUAACUACGU